CUAGAAUCAGUUUUAUACUGUUCUUGAGAAAACAUUAUUUUAAACACUAUUAACACAAUAAAUGUAUGUGAGUUUAUAGAAGAGUGUGGGUCGGCUCUUAUUAAGAUUAAAAAACUCAUUUAGAAAAAAUUUUAUUUUUAUGAUAAAUAUUAGAAAAGUCAUAUAUUUGUCUAGAUUUGGAUAAGAAAUUAAUAGUUUUAUUGUUAAGAAUAAAAUUUUACAUUUGGGAGCCAAACAACUUGAUUGUGAAAAUUAAUAAAUAUUAUUGUAAAAGUUAUACAUAGCAUUGAUAUAGAUUCAAAUUUAAAAGACAAUUCACUAUUGUACCAUUAUGAAACAAUAUUUAAGCAAGCAUUAAAUACAAAAUUAACUUUACUCUUAGGAAUAUAAUAAUAAAAUAUAUUUUACUUUUAAGUAACCAAUAAUUAGAUUACAAAAGUAAUUAUUGUAAUAUUGACAUAUAUUUGUUAUGGGAAGAACAGUAUUCUAAGACACACUAUUCCUUAAGUUUUGUAACUUGGAUUUUAGGGCAAUUUUUUAAUUAAUUUUUUUUUUU